AUACUCCGGUUCGCUUGAUCAUUAUAAAAAUUAGGAUAAACUUUAAAUACCCCCUAUAUGGUUUCACAUUUUCUCAUUUUAAUACCCUGUGGUUUAAAGUGUAUCAAGUUAGCCCCCUGUGGUUUCGUACUUUCUCACUUUAGUAUCCUGUGGUUUAAAGUGUAUCAAGUUAGUACCCUGUGAUUUUUUUUUUUUUUUAUUAUCCAUUUUACUAAUUUUUUUCGUUAAAUCAUUGACAAAGUUAAAACUAAAGAGUACUAAAGUGAAUCUUCGAUAAACCUAAAUACGGUAUCUAAGUUUUCUGUAUAUAUAAUUUAACGAAAUAUUAAUGAAGGAAAAAAAAAAUAGUGACACAGUUAAAACAAAAGAAUACUAAAAUAAAUAUUCGAUAAAUCUAGAUAGAGUAUUUAAAGUUUUUUAUAUAUAAUUUAAUGAAAUAUUAACAGAGGAGACGACGAAAAAAGAAAAAUGAAAUUACAGGGCACUAAAUUGAUGCACUUUAAAUCGCAGGAUACUAAAGUGAAAAAGUGCGAAACUAUAGAAUAGUAAAUUGAUAUAUUUUAAAUUACAGAAUACUAAAGUAAAAAAGUGCGAAACUACAUAAGUGGUAUUUGAAAUUUUUUCGAAAAAUUAUGACAUUGGGUUUCCAGUAGU
rnacentral:lncRNA from 1 species